rnacentral:rRNA from 1 species
AUUGAACGCUGGCGGCAGGCCUAACACAUGCAAGUCGAGCGGUAGAGAGAAGCUUGCUUCUCUUGAGAGCGGCGGACGGGUGAGUAAUGCCUAGGAAUCUGCCUAGUGGUGGGGGAUAACGUUCGGAAACGGACGCUAAUACCGCAUACGUCCUACGGGAGAAAGCGGGGGAUCUUCGGACCUCGCGCCAUUAGAUGAGCCGAGGUCGGAUUAGCUAGUCGGUGAGGUAAUGGCUCACCAAGGCGACGAUCCGUAACUGGUCUGAGAGGAUGAUCAGUCACACUGGAACUGAGACACGGUCCAGACUCCUACGGGAGGCAGCAGUGGGGAAUAUUGGACAAUGGGCGAAAGCCUGAUCCAGCCAUGCCGCGUGUGUGAAGAAGGUCUUCGGAUUGUAAAGCACUUUAAGUUGGGAGGAAGUGCAGUAACCUAAUACGUUAUUGUUUUGACGUUACCGACAGAAUAAGCACCGGCUAACUUCGUGCCAGCAGCCGCCGUAACAC